GUGAGGAAUUUUCCGCAAUGGGCGAAAGCCUGACGGAGCAAUACCGCGUGAAGGAUGAAGGCCUAUGGGUUGUAAACUUCUUUUCUCAGAAAAGAAUUAUGACGGUAUCUGAGGAAUAAGCAUCGGCUAACUCUGUGCCAGCAGCCGCGGUAAGACAGAGGAUGCAAGCGUUAUCCGGAAUGAUUGGGCGUAAAGCGUCUGUAGGUUGUUUAAAAAGUAUUCUGUCAAAGAUUAGGGCUUAACCCUAGAUAGGCAGAAUAAACUUUUAAGCUAGAGUGUGGUAGAGGCAGAGGGAAUUCCCGGUGGAGCGGUGAAAUGCGUAGAUAUCGGGAGGAACACCAAAGGCGAAGGCACUCUGCUGGGCCAAUACUAACACUGAGAGACGAAAGCGAGGGGAGCAAAUGGGAUUAGAUACCCCAGUAGUCC
rnacentral:rRNA from 1 species